AAGCCCAGCGCAGAACCUCCCGGGCCACCCGGCCCGCGGCGGAAUGUUGCGUUAAGGGAAAGGUCGUAGUCAAACCCUACAACCACACGAACUCUAAGUCAGCCACGAAUAGGCUAUCCCAACUAACGGCGGGAGCGACUCCACGGAGGGUGUAAGACCCGUGUGGGCGUGUGUUAAAGUUGUAUGGGCUCGGCCUCUUCCCUGAGAGUCGCGUUGCUUGAGCAUGCAGCGCUAAGCAGGUCGUAGACUCGAUCUAAGGCUAAAUAUAUCCACAGGACCGAUAGCAAACAAGUACCGUGAGGGAAAGUUGAAAAGCACUCUGAAGAGAGAGUCAAAAGACCGUGAAACCGUUCAGAGUAUAAGCCCAUGGCACUUGGAAGGCUCCCGUAGCGGCGUAUCUUCUUUCGAGAGGGUGCGACAGUUAUAGACUGAAAGGUUCGUUAAAGGUACGAGUCUUGAGUGACUACGGCCAACUGUGCGGGAGGGAGAUCAGGCGUGAGGGUGUGUGCGGGAUUUCGGGUGCUCACGCGCUCGUUGUUCCGUACCUCCUUUGCGUCCUUCCUCUUUUGAAUGGACGUUCAUGGUCAUAUAGCUAUUACGGUACAUGCCCACCACAGUUUGUUGUGAGGUCACCCGCAGGCUCAAACAGUCGAUCGUGUGCCCCAGUGUGUCUCAUGCAGUGUCCUUACGCUUCACCAGCAUUCAGCGGUGAUUCGCUAGCAUGUUCUGUACGCACUCGGGGCCAGGCGGCGAAACGAGAAUCCAUCCUGGUAUGAUCCUCUUGCGACAAUCUGAUUCUGACCGAGUUCUGUAGCUGCCCAUCCGGUGCCCAUGUGUCGGGCAUUGGAUUGGCUAGCACCCUUGCCUGUAUGCCCCUCUGGACGAUGUAACAGUCGACAAGCUCUCAGGUUGGGUGGCUACGUUUUACUCGUGUGGUGUUAAGUCCGGUGCCAUCGGUCACGUCUCGAAACACGGGCCAAGGAGUAUAGCAUGUGUGCAAGUUUAAGGGUCUCACAAAACCCGAAGGCGAAGUGAAAGCAAAGGUGUGGCGAGAACGCUUCGGCAAUCUCGUCCUCUUGGUGUCAAAACCUGGUUUUUACCGAGUUGAUCUUGUUCUGUUGGCAAUGUCUCAAGGCAAGCGCAAGCUCCGGGCUCACCUCUUUAGCACUGGUUUCAUUCGUGAGGCUGUGUUGUGAGCACCGUGUAGCAUGCAUGCUAUAACCCGAAAGAUAGUGAACUAUGCCUGGCGAGGGCGAAGCCCCAGGAAACUGGGGUGGAGGCCCGUAGCCGUUGUGACGUGCAAAUCCAUGGUA
rnacentral:rRNA from 1 species